GAUGAACGCUGGCGGCGUGCCUAAUACAUGCAAGUCGAGCGAACAGAUGAGGAGCUUGCUCCUCUGACGUUAGCGGCGGACGGGUGAGUAACACGUGGAUAACCUACCUAUAAGACUGGGAUAACUUCGGGAAACCGGAGCUAAUACCGGAUAAUAUAUUGAACCGCAUGGUUCAAUAGUGAAAGACGGUUUUGCUGUCACUUAUAGAUGGAUCCGCGCCGCAUUAGCUAGUUGGUAAGGUAACGGCUUACCAAGGCGACGAUGCGUAGCCGACCUGAGAGGGUGAUCGGCCACACUGGAAAUGAGACACGGUCCAGACUCCUACGGGAGGCAGCAGUAGGGAAUCUUCCGCAAUGGGCGAAAGCCUGACGGAGCAACGCCGCGUGAGUGAUGAAGGUCUUCGGAUCGUAAAACUCUGUUAUUAGGGAAGAACAAAUGUGUAAGUAACUAUGCACGUCUUGACGGUACCUAAUCAGAAAGCCACGGCUAACUACGUG
rnacentral:rRNA from 1 species